rnacentral:rRNA from 1 species
CCUACGGGGGGCAGCAGUGAGGAAUCUUGGUCCAUGGGCGAGAGCCUUAACCAGCCAAGUCGCGUGAGGGAGUACUGCCCUAUGGGUUGUAAACCUCUUUUUUCGGGGAGCAAAAGCCGGACGUUUCCGGCUGUGAGAGUACCCGAUGACAAAGCAUCGGCUAACUCCGUGCCAUCAGCCGCGGUAAUACGGAGGAUGCAAGCGUUAUCCGGAUUUAUUGGGGUUAAAGGGUGCGCAGGCGGAUUUUUAAGUCAGCGGUGACAUCGUGGGGUUCAACCCCAUCACGCCGUUGACACUGGGGAUCUAGAGGGUGCGAGAGGGAUGCGGAAUGCGUGGUGUAGCGGUGAAAUGCAUAGAUAUCACGCAGAACCCCGAUUGCGAAGGCAGCAUACCGGUGCACAACUGACGCUCAGGCACGAAAGCGUGGGUAUCGAACAGGAUUAGAUACCCGAGUAGUC